rnacentral:lncRNA from 1 species
UCUUAUUAAGAUCUUUAAUAAUAAAAAGCUAAGAUUUUAUUAAUGGGCAUAUAUGAUGCCUAAUGUUUUACACUUAUAAUAGAUUGAAUAUCAACAACAAAAAAUUGGUAUUUUAGGAAGUUUGUUAGGAUUAAUAGCUGCAUAGGAUUCUGGAAGCUUUCCUGCUGGCCUAAAGCAUAGACAUUUAAAAUUUCUGCACCAACAACAUCUACAAACCCCUGGGUAUGGGCAAUAACAAGCAUCACAAUCUUUGUCUGUUUUGCAUGGAUCACCGUAACGUUCUGGUUCUACCUUUGAAUCUCCCUCCAAACCU